UACGAAGGGGGCUAGCGUUGCUCGGAAUGACUGGGCGUAAAGGGCGCGUAGGCGGAUGGCACAGUCAGAUGUGAAAUUCCUGGGCUUAACCUGGGGGCUGCAUUUGAUACGUGUGAUCUAGAGUGAGGAAGAGGGUUGUGGAAUUCCCAGUGUAGAGGUGAAAUUCGUAGAUAUUGGGAAGAACACCGGUGGCGAAAGGCGGCGACCUGGUCCUUAACUGACGCUGAGGC
rnacentral:rRNA from 1 species